ensembl:lncRNA
CCCUUUUUUUUUUCAAGGCUGCUACCGAUGCCAUUAUUUUUAUCGUGAAAUGGUGGCAAUUAUGUAAAAAUAUUCACUCACAAGAAGUUAACACUCACGUCGCAUUACUUGCCGAGUUUUAUUUGGUCCGUUAUUACAUUUAUUUCCCCUGGAGGCCUUGUGAACGAGACCUGAAACGAAUGGAGGCUUACAAGGGUAAAAUAGCAACGGCCGUAAAUCAAAGGAAGGCCAUUAGAAACCUCAGUUAUCUGCUACUAAGUCAACAUCCCUAGUGCCCAUUCUGGAAUUACAGCAGCUCCACAUGCCUCCAACACACACACACACACACACACACACACGCACACACAAAUGCACGCACACUUGUGCAGGGGUUAAAACACUUCCUGACCAAAAAGUGCAAUACUGAAAGCCACAUACACGUGGGUGACAAAGAAACUGUGCUAACUGUGACAUGCCAUCCUGUUUGGUUGAGGCUCUGCUGCCACAAAGAUAUUUCCCAUUUCAAACUUAGCCAAGAAGCCAUAUGUACCAGACGGUCCAAAACAACGAAACAAUGGCUCUUGCCUAUAAAGGAAACCAACAACACGUAAAUGCUUUUCAUGUCGAUGGCACCAUUUUGAAAUGCUGCACCAUAACAGCGCCACUCGUCUGCUCAUUCAUCAUGACUGAUUUACUGCACGCUUUUACAGUAAUACUGCAGAAAGGAAUAUCAAAAAAAAAUAAAAAUAAAUUCUGCCGGUACUAUUAAACAACAACACGUGUGUUCGGCAGCUUUACAUAGGAUUGUCCCGAGGGGCAAAACAAUUAAAGCCUCUUUCGCUUUUUAUUCCUUUAUAGAGAGAGACGAGACAUCAGUCAGCACUUUAUGGGUUCUGAGUUCUCAACCACGCUGGGUGGACUAGAACAAUAAACCUCUGUCUUUAAAGUGACAGUCGGAGUGUGGCAACAUCUGGCGGCACGGCUCAUUUUGGGUUUCCGCCCGACUUGAUUGACAUUGCAGCCCCUUUAAAAAAAUUAUGAGAAUGAAUAAUAAUAAAUACCAAAAACAUUCCCUUACACACGAAGGUUCACCUCCACCCCCCGCCCCCAUUCAUAUAAUGAGGAGCGGGGGAAAUAUGAUGCGAUGUUGGGGGGUGGUGUAGUAACUACUGCCGAACCCACCACCACUUCCUGGAGUGGGCGGGGGUGUGUUAGAGCACCACGGCACACCGCUGUAGCUGUAAGGCAGAUGGGUAGGAAACGCAGGCCCACAUCAAGGCCUGGCUGGUCCUGAUCAAAGUGCCUGAUCGAAUACACUGACGGGGGCCCUAACUUAAUAGGCCUUCUUUCAGUUGUCUCCUCUGUGAGGUCAUAUUCAAAGUCAUUACUAGGCUUUCGAUUGAAACAACAAAACGCGAUAAACUAUAUAUCGUCCACAGCCUAUAGGCUAAAAGAAGGCGGGAAAAUGUGGAUUUCCACCGUUUCGGGGUUAAGGAAAGUACGGCGCGGCGUCGGCUCGGUUGAAUCGUUUUACAAAUCAACGUCUGACUGUUUCUUGUAGCUGCUCGGAUGUUUUAACGUGUCUCAUCUUCUGUUUUAUUGAGAAGACGCGUGGCUUUAUUUUAAAUGAUGUUAAAUUGCAGAGCUCCUAUGCAAAAAAAAAACAAAAAAACAAACAGACAAAAAAAAACGACCCAUAAAGGUAAGCGCCACCGGAUAGCACGGCAGAGUGAAAAUCUUUAAAGGUGAUUCCAUCUCUAUAUCAUAGGAAUCUACUCAUUACUAAUCUCGUCUCUCACAUUUCCUUCUAAAGAACGUGACUAUGAGUGAACCUAAAAAGGUCGAGCGUUCCACUUCGAUCCAAAUGGAGUUUUACCUUGCAAAUAAAAUGACUAUUCACAGACGGCAUCAUUAACUUUGGCAGUAAGGCCUUUACAAUGUAAGCACUCAGAUUCACAGUCGAGCCAUAAAAUCAUUCCCAGUAAUCAAGACGGAAUCUAUUCUCGUUACCGACAGGUAUUUUUGCUCGCACGGCACCUGGAGCUACUGUCUUACAUUAUAUGGGCUGUGAGAUCUUCUCUCGGCAGGCCUUGGCAUCUCUUCAGAUGAAAAGGCUUAUUCUUUUUUACCUCUGCUAUUUCAGAACAAAUUUCAACACAGCUCCAUAGUGCUCGUUUCCCCAUGGAUGGGAAUCGUUAUUAUUUACAGUGUGCAUUAGUGAAUCAGUCUGCUAUUCAGCGUCCAGCCAGCAGCCAUUCAAAACCGAGGCCCCUGCUCACAAGGGCUCCGAUUCUGUCUUUCUGCCAAGGCCAAUUAGCGCAACGCCGGGCUAGCGCUCCCACUGCUUCUCACAAGCCUUUACAAAACAGCAGCUACAUGAACUAGAUUACAAAACAUACAGUAUAUCUGUGAUUUCAUCUCUUCAAAUAUUGUAAAUUCUCUCUUGUAGCACCUGGGAUAAAUGGUCUAGCAGGGCCGGCGUGUUUAUCAGAGAUGACAAGACAUCUCGGAUAAGGUUUCGUUUCUGGCAUGCGCGUCAGAUUACUUGCUACUAACAAAUCUCUUAAGGUGAAUCAUGUUGGACUUUUGUGAGACCAAGCACAACAGCAGCACCGAUGUUCUUUCGGAAUAUACGGAAUUGUAUGAAGAAACGAGGCUGGGACCGAUUUCUUCCUAGCCCAGACUGCGGAUUAAUGCAGUGAGGUUAAUCAGUCUCAUCAGUGACAGCCGUGUCAGGUGAUUACAUAGACUGAAACGCCACGUAGCCUGCUUCGCUUACGCAUGCAUAACACGUCAUCAGCCGUGAUUGAGGAGGUGCUUGCGAAGUAUAGUCAUGGGGGUAAUGAAUGUGAACGAAGUGGUCAUUACCAUCCUUUAUUCACAAAUGCCUUUUUAAAAAUAGACUAAGCACGUACGGUCUAGUCAAAGUACAAAUCACACCAAAGAUCAGAUGACAAAACAGUAACUUUUUUAUUUAUUUAACGGUUACAACUUUUCUGUAUACCAUGUUUGGUAUUUGGAGGAAACUCCGCAUGAAGCCAGUAGGGGAUUACAGACUUGCAAGAGUUAAAACAAAAUUAGAAAUCACGAAUGCAGCUGCUUAUCUUUCUCCAAGUGUGUGUGUGUGUGUGAUAGCUUGCCUCACAUCAUUCUCAUUAUGCCACUGAUGAGACCUUGUGAUAUAAUGCGUUACUCAACCCUAAUUUCAUUGCUGAGCUAGUGAUAGAUAGUUUAGCCCUCCCCAUUUUUAGGGAUUUUUACCUAUUAUUCAAAUUUUUCAAAGUAUUAUAAGAUUUAAAUAUUUAGACUGCACCUACACACAUACAGUAUAUGCCACAAAACAUUAAAGUGCACCUAUUAUGGUUCUGAAACGUCUCUAGUUUUGUUUUAAAGGUCUCAUCCAAUAGAUUUACAUGCACCCAAGGUCAAAUAACACUUUAACGUGCUCAUCAUUUAAACUGCAGCAUUACCGUUUUCCCCCCCAGUGUCAGUGAUCCGUUCUAAACUCCUCCUUUCAGAGAGCAUACUCUGCUCUGAUUGGUCAGAAGUACAGCUGUCAGCGUGUUUCAAAAAGGAAACACCCACUACUAUAACGAGUUUCAGCUCCGUCUGUUCUCGGGCAGCUGAUGAAGACCAGAGGCGGGGCUUUUUAUAACAGACCUACGUAGGUUAGUACAGGAAGUAAAGUCUGGAAUCACUAACGACUCGUUUCAGCUGUUCAGAAUCGCUUCCUUCGUUCGGGAGUCAAUAACUCCGUUCGUCGUGCCCUUUGAUUUGGUUUGAAAAACCAUAAUAGCUGCACUUUACGCCUUCAUCCACUGAAAAUUUCAUUUCGCAUCCUUAUUUGGAGGUGAGUUCAUUCAGAGCAUGUCUAACUACACAAAUUAACAGUAUUCAUACUGUACUGCCAUACAGUUAGUUAUGAGCUACAUAUUGGCUUCACAACGGUUAAACUGCUGCUUUCUACUGGAAUGAGAGAGAGAGAGAGAGAGAGAGAGAGAGAACAGGAGAACAGUCCUGGCUUGGAUUUUUACACCUUGCAGCUGUGAUUAAAGUUUAAUCAAACUUUAAACUUGACCCCAUUUGCAUCUCUUCUUUCAAAGUUCACCCACUGACACGUGCUGCUGUUUGUCUCAGUGUGUACAGGCAUGGUGGAAAAAAUCCUCUUGUUUUUGCAGCAUUGAAUCAUUUACACAUUUACUUUGAAACCGCGACAUGUGUUCUUGUCUCAAACUGAGAUAUGUUCUUACAAGACUGCAUCUGGGAAACAAACUGUGCUGCUGGAAAACUCUCAAACACAAUUCUUCAGGAUUACUAUUAAAUAAUACUGAUUGGCAAUUUUAAACUUUCAUUUAAUAUGGAAUAGUCAAAUUUGAGUGCAUUUCUGAUAUUACAAUACUAUUUAUUGGAAAUAUUUUGGUCUUUAUCGCCUUUUCUCUUUCAGCCAUAACAUUAAAACCAAGUGGGAGGCCAAGUCAACACCUUUUUUUUUUUAUUUUGCUGUGUGGCAGGGCGGAUUAUCCCGCUGAAAGAGGCCUCUGCCAUUAGGCAAUACCGUUGCCAUGAAGGUGUGUACUUGGUCUGCAACAAUGUUUAGGUUGUUGGUUCGUAUCAAAUUAACAUCCACAUCAAUGCCAGUGUCCAGGGUUUCCCAGCAGAACAUCACACUGCCUCUGCCGACUUCCCAUAGUGCAUUCUGGUGCCAUCUCUUCCCCAGGUAAGCGACACACAUGCAUCAGGCCGUCCACAUGAUGUAAAAGAAAAUGUGAUUCAUCAGAUCAGGCCACCUUCUUCCACUGCAGCUACGCAGCCCCAUAUGCAGCAAGUUGAGAUGCACUGUGUUCUGACGCCUUUCUAUCAGAGUCAGCAUGAACUUUUUCAACAGAUGCGCUACUGUAGCUCUUCUAUGGGAUCGGACCAAACGGGCUAGCCUUCGCUCACCACACGCAUCAGUGAGCCUUGAUCGCCCAUGACCCUGUCGCCAGUUCACCGGUUGUCCUUCCACAGACCACUGUUCAUAGGUUCUAUCCACUACAUACCAGGAACACCCCACAAGACCUGCCGUUUUGGAGACGCUCUGACCCAGUCGUCUAGCCAUCACAAUCUGGCCCUCGUCAAAGUCGCUCAGAUCCUUACGCUUGCCCAUUUUCCCUGCUUCCGACACGUCAACUACGAGAACUGACUGUUCACUUGCUGCCUAGUAUAUCCCACCGCUUAACAGGUGCGACUGUAACGAGAUAAUCAAUGCUGUUCACUUCACCUGCCAGUGGUUGUAAUUUUAUGGCUGAUCGAUGUAUACAGUACUGUUAAACUAUUUUCUUUUUACUGUUAAGGCAAUUAUUUUUCCGAGCAUUUCCUUUAACAGACAUGGUCAUCGCUUGCUUUGAAAUAACAACAGAAAAAAUGAUUUUUGCUUACACUAAAAACACUAAAAGUAUUAUUUCAUUUGCUACAGUACUUGGAUACGCUUGUGCAAUUUAAUCGCAUAUUUUUGUACAUAUUUUCAACUUUAUUUAAAAAGUAGCUUUAAAGACUUUAAAAAAAAGAAAGAAAAAGAAACAUUUAUUCAGCUUUUCAAGUUUCAGGUGUGGUGAAGCGCACUAUAUCGAAUUUCUUCGAAAGAGAAAAUAAAACAUGUUCCUCAUCUUAAAUGGAUCAUAUAUAUCCACACUUCAAGGCGUACAGUACGUCUACUCUAUAAUGCUUAAGUGGCUGACAAGGUGAACAAUAACGGCAUGGAUUUCAGGCAGCAGGUCAGCAAUUAGAUUACCAGCAGCUGUUUCCACGCUGGCAUAAUGUCUGAACGUGGAAUUCUUAAACUAAAACAUUUCGAAAAGGUUUCUUUUAAUGACUUCCAACAUAUUUUAUGCUGACAGGGUGGAAAUGUUAAGCUUGGACAGAUCGAUUAAGCAACUCUAUACGUCUGUCAAAAGGAAACUCAGCUACACGUCUACCUCGGCAGUCGAUUUCGGAGGAAAGAAGCCACAUGACGGAGGGAAAACUCAUGCUGCUAUGAUGUCACUAGAGAAGGCAGCAAUUUCUUUAAUACCCCUACAUGGCAGGGUGGAUGACCGUUUUAAAGGACGCGCACAAACUCUUCCGAAGAUGUGAUUUAUAGAAAGAAAUGAUCCGAGCACUUGACAUGAGUAAUAUCUGAUUUAAAUAAUGAUUUGAGAAUAAAACUGAAAAAUGAAUAUCACUAUCUUAGAAAAUGAGCCAAAUACAACUGUAUUAAAUAAUCUACAGGCCCAGGUGAUGUUUUUUUGGUUGUUUUUUUGUUUUUUAAAAAAAUAAAAUUCAAAUGAAAAAUCAAUGUUGCAUAAAUAUAAACUGUAUGUUUUGACGUGUUUUGCCAUUUGGGGCAACCAACAAGUUGACUGCACGCAAGUGCUGGAAUAUUCAGAACGUCAUUAAUCACACUUUGUUAGUUUAAGCCCUUCGUUUUAGGGAGAGAAAAAAAGUCGGCCGGGAAUUGAUGUAUUAGUCAGCUGGCUGCAUCAAAUCGAGAAGGAUCAAUGAUGUGGACACUUUUAGUUUCCGGGAACCAUAAGGUCGGCUCAUGCCCCCGCAUCUCUCAGCCGAGCGGAGUAGCACACACGUACGCUCACACACUAGUGCACGGCUCUGACUCAUGUAGAAUGAAGGGUUCGCACCAUGGGAAAAGUGUCACCAGGCGUAGGGUACGCAUCGUAACAUUUCACUUUUCCCCUUAACUGCACACUAUGUGGUUUACUACUCCUUUCGAAGCAAAAACACCUUUAUGAUUUCGAGUUUUUUUAUAUAUAUAUAUAUAUACAUAAGUAUGAAAGGUGUAAUUUGCUCAGUGCAAAAUAAGUGACAACAUGUAAUUUGGCUUAGAGACAGAGAUUUUUACAAGUAUUUUUGACGUUUUAUCUAACGUUCUUGAGGGCAACCAAAUCAUUUUCACAUGCUAAGAGGACUUUGAUGACUGUUAUUUCAAACUCAUAAAUAUUCCUAACAGAGCUGAUCCUUUUGUUGCCCGUCUCUACCGGGUUUUUUUUUUUUUCUUUACCCAGUAGUGCAUUCCUUGCUUUAUAAUAUGAGUGGUUUAGCUCUUUGCAUGGUGAGCAUAGCAAGCUUCUCUCCAGUCAGAAUGAAUGAGCAACCCAAAGCAGCCUAAAAUACAGUCAGUUAGUUUGUCUCUCAGUCAUUUAGAUGGCUUCUUUCUGCCUAAUUACCCUUGCCAUGUGUAAAACGGAGUGCUGUGGGCCAACACUUCAUUUUCUACAUGCUUGCACUGUAUCUGCGUCGGGAAAAAAAGCAUCUGGCAAAAGAAUAAAUGUAAAUGCCAUAUCUUAUAUUUCCACAGUGGUUGAGUCAUGGGGGGGGAAACAUAUUGACUGUAAACAUGGUUGUAGGGAAUCGGUUUAGGAAAAGAGGAACAAGCACUUGCAUUGUACAUGAACAACAGUUUACUUGCUGAUAGCGAGUGCAACCAGCUGGAUGUAGAGCAGGAUGAGAGAGAGAAAAAAAAAAAAAAAAAAACAGAAGCUUGUACCGAGCAAGAACUUAACCGAAUUCUGUAGAGUAAGGAAAGAAGAAGGUAUCAAAAUAUAGAAAACUGUUUUGUGUGUGUGUGUGUGUGUGUGUGUGUGUUAAAUCAGUACGAUUGUACACCUGGGGCUUAUUCCCAUCGAAUCAUAUGCUCCAUAGAUCUUGCCUCAGGGUGUAUUAUCCAUGUGAGCACACACACACACACACACACACACACACACAGAAACACACAGUAGCAGGCAUUAUUUUUAUGAUUAGUGGGCAACACAAGGUGCUUGGUACCCUUUUGUUUCCGUGAGAAUUUUUCUGCCACUUAAAAAAAAAAAGUAGAAAGUAGAAAGAAUCAUGCUUGACUAGCCUGAUGGUGGCGCUGUCGUGCAGCAUCUUACAUUUUAGCCCAAAUCUCGAGACAUGUGAGUUGUAGAAACAUUUUGGUUUUAACUCGGCUUAACGGGAACAAACUUACAAGUGGGAUCGUUAAGCUCCGCCUACCUCGAUGCUUUGCAUGAAAUGCGAAACCUACUUUGGCAAGCUAGGAAAGCUAGUCCUAGGAUUUUUGGUGUAUCUUCAUAAUGUUGGUGUCAAAACACUCAUCGCUGUCUGAGACUCGGCGAACAAAAACAUCUCCGCAGAGGGUGCUUGGGCCCCACAGAUUGCUCCUUUAUAGAUAGCUAUAUUUAUUAUUAUUAUUGUUAUUAUUGCUGUUGUUUUCGCUGUCACAUGUGAUGCGGGUGCUUUGAUGGUCUUUAUUGAUUUUGUUGUCAUUAAAUUGUGUAUUAUGUCUUUUAUGUAUAAGCCCUAUAUUCACACUCCUAGAUUCGGUGCCUUGCUACCCGUCUCCAGUAAUUGCACUGCUUUGGAGUUAUUUUUAGGUGGCUUAAAUGGACAAGUAAAAGCUUGAGAGAAAAAGAAAGAAAAAGAGAGAGAGAGAGAGAGAGAGAGAGAGAGAGAGGUAGAUAUAGGCAGAGAGAGAGAGAGAGAGAGAGAGAGAGAGAGGUUUGAACAAUGUGCUGAGUUCACUAAUGGGGCUUCAAAGUAUCCUUUAAAUGAAUCAAGGUCUUUCACAGUCAUCAGGCAGGUAACAGAGAACCUGUCGUUCCCACCCACUCACUGAUUAGUGAUUCAGACUGAAAAUGGGGGAAAGAGAAAUAUAUAUCUGUUCUGUCAUUUAAAGUUUGGUGUAACUUAAUAUUGAUGGGUGAAACUGGGCCAUAUGCUUUAAGUUCAGUUUUGACAGUUGGGACACUGGUAUGUAAUUAAAGAGUGGAUUCAUAGUUUGCGGCUGUUUAAUAACUUCUUCUGGUUAUAUCCAGCAUAACAUGAAACAAAAGCACAUAUUCUUUACAUAUGGUACUGUUUUCCUACACUUCAUAAUAGAGUGUACUAUAUCUCAAAAUAGGCUUCAGGUUCUACUGUUUACUGUAAAUGUUUGAAGAAGAAAAAAAACAACAACACUUUUUGCACUGCCACUCUGUAUUCUGAAUAUCCUUACUAAUGGCCAAAAGUGGUUCAGCAUGCUCUAAGCAGCAUGUAUUGAUAUUGUUGAACUUGGCAAGGCUGAUUACAUUCAUGCUAUGUUGGCCUGAUUUGUCUCAUUUAAUCUGAAUGUUUGUAUUGUAGUGCAUUUCAGUCCUAUACAAUAAGGUCAGCAGUAGGUUGAAGUGCUUUGGGGGGUUGGAGGGGGGUUGGUCUGGUGUAGGCUGUUAUUGGGAGAGGAGGGGGGGGGGGGGGCGCUUCUCAUAAACUUUCCAACUUCAUAUUUUUUCUUUUUUUUUGAGAAGUGAACAAGCCUGAGGCUAUACGCACAAAUCAUAAUGCAUUCAGCAAAUAUUCUCUGGACAAAACAUGCAUUUAUGAAGAGAUGGCCUUUACUGGAGGAAUGCAUAGAGAGUAUGCUUAACAAACAAUACACCCACACACGAGAGCGAGCGAGCGUGCGAGUGAGAGAGAGAGUGAGAGAGAGAGAGAGAGAGAGUAGAUAUAAAAUGAAUUAGUGCAUUUGUGAGAGAUAAUAGCUUUCUAUAUUACCACUGUACAAAAUGGUUGCCACACUGUUAUAGCUGCUAGCUAAUCACAGUUCCAGAAAUACUGAGUUCAACAUGAACGCAUAGAUAAACUGCAACUGAAUAGAUCAGAAAAAGAGAAGAGAGUGCCAGCAGUUAAACUCCGCCGGUUUAGGCCCCUCUACACAGGAAAACAUGUCUUGAAUGUGAAAUAUGUGUCAGCGCUAAAAUUCCAGCACAAGUGUUAGAAUCUGAUGCCGGUUUUCUUCCAACAUCUUACCGUUGAAGCUAUCUAAUGUAUAUAAGCAUGCAUAUAAGCUAUAUAUAAGCAAGCAUAUCACAGGAUGUAUGCCGUAAGUGAUCAAAUGAUCACUUGACUACUUGUUGUCUAUUCAUCACUUCCUUCGUGACUGCACAUUGAUGUUUUGUAAUGCUAACUGUGCUGGGUCUUCUACGUAACGGAUGUUGGCGUGAGCUACACUACCCUCGAUAUAUACAACGCUACAAAGAAGCAUUCUGAUAAGAGGCAGUUAGAAAGUUUCAGAAAUAGAAGUAGGUUUAGCAGCUUGUGUGAAUGAAAAAGUUGUUUCCUUAUUAUUAUUAUUAUUAUUAUUAUUAUUAUUGUUUUGCUAGGUGAAUGCAAACAUGUGUAGUGGAUUCUUGUCAUGGCUUCCAAGCCCGAAGUGUGUAAACCUAUAUCUGUUCUUUUGUAUGAUGACAGCAGUCGUGCCACUCCCACCCAAAUGCCGCCGUUGACACGUAUUUCGAAUUUCCUAUAGCAACAAGCAACGCAUUAUUUAUUUCUCGACAUCCAACACUUUCAGGUGAGCUAGGACAGCACGAGAGGAUCCGCGUCCUUACGGUGAUUCUCGGGGUUUCAGUGAGAAACCUGCGUGCUUCUUCUAGCGUUGGGUUUCCUCCAUGACUGACAUUUCCACUGUGAGAGCCAGUGUUCAUCUGUAGAUGUUACAACACGGCAGCUAGUGCAUUAACAUGUUAGCAACAGGAAAUGAGAGCCACCCAUUAUGGUUGGCCUAGUUUUGCAGAACCCUUUCCAGUUCAAGGGAUGCCACAGAACCCUGGUGCAUGUCGCGAUGCUCUUAUUACGCACAUGCGGGCUCCUAUAGGAUGCACAAACCUCCCAGCCACGUUCGAACAUUUGCUUUAUUAAAGCAGGCUUGCAUAAAGGGACUAUUGUGGCCGAGAGAGCAGUUCCCCUUCAAAUUUGCUGCAUAAUGUCCACUCGAAAACGAUCAUUUCUCAGCAUGUGCAGUCGGCAUACUGUACCCUCUUUGGCUCGCCGGCUGAUCUUUUCCAUAUGUUCCAACCCACAAGCUAAACUCUGCGACACACUUCUAUAAACACACAUCACCAAAUUAUGAGUUACUUACAGGGGAGACGGCGAGUUUUAAGUGCACUACCACAGGGUGAAGCGCAAAGCAAUACGAGUCAUGCAUCAAGGCCUUCCAUCCAUUUUGUGUCCUAUAUUUCUCUCAUCAUGUUUCUGACUUUUAUUUAUCGCCACCCUUCAUCUGCUGAGCUCACAUUAUAUUUGCCGCUUAGCUCAGGGAAGUUUCAAUCGCACUGCUUUGGGGCUGUGACUUUUAAGCAAACGUCCAAGUGUACGAAUCAGAUUCCGACUUGGAUGCGACUAUAGUAAUCGUCUUGCGAAUAACCGAUUCGCCGCACAUGCACCUGGUCACCAGGACGAACCAACGGGAUUGGUUUGGUGGCAUAGCGAUCACAGGAUGCCUUUCUGCUUAAUGCACUCCAUAACGUUCUAAGGCGAUUUCACCACUGUGGCAACAAUUCAAAUACGCGGUUGGUCUUAAAACAGUAGUGACUGCAAAACCUUACAAACAGGGCUACGACAACAGUCAUGCAACGAUAUAUUCGUUUAUAUUUUAGAAGACGUGUUAGAAGGCUGGUAAAGCAUUCACGCCUUCAUUGAUACCUGCACGCAAAGAAUGCAUUUUUUUAAAUUAUUAUAUCGAGUUGGAAAUAUUUUUACAGGAUUAGAAGUUAUGCCAGCAUCCAAAAAAAUAAAAAAAAAGACACACAGAGUUCUAUUGCAAUCCUAUCAUGCAAAGACAGACAGUGAACCCAAGUGGAAGCAGAGUAAAUCUGUAAACGCCAACAUCACCUAUAAGCGCAUUAUUAUACACUACAUACAUCCUAGAUGAGCCCAAACUAUCGUUCAAGUUAAUGUGUUUGGGUUGGAAAUGGAAGCUGGAUUCACUCGAAGUUAGGUAGCAGGUGCUCAACUCCCCCCAGAACAACACACCAGCUCUGAUUCUCCAGUUUGCAUUCAAAAGAACAACAAACUCUGGAUGAGAAAAACAAAAAAAAUGCGCAUCCGUGAAGUGUUUAAAAAAAAAAAAAAAAAAAAAAAACAUCCGUGGAAGCAUCUAACUAACUCCCAGCUGUGUGUCUGCUCGGCUUUAAAGGCCCUGCGGCGAUACACACUUCGAACACACAUCUAUUCUCAUCUGAUCCUGCUAUAACGUGUAUUAGCCUACGCCCUGUAACUACUACACAUGGCCCUGAGGCACGUGCCAAACGACGAAAUAUCUAUAGCUUCGAUGCUGUUUUGAGUUACGCUGUUAUUAUUAUUAUUAUUAUUAUUAUUAUUAUUAGGGCCUUUUAUUUCCUACAGGCUACAAUGCCAUAUAAAGGUAGCAGCAGGUUACUAAAAUGCAGCGAGCGCGCGCGCGCCUGUUUGCUCAUACAGGAUAAAUAUGAUGAUGGGAUCCCGAUGGGAAAAGCAUGGGGUUUUUGUUUGUUUGUUUGUUUGUUUGUUUUUUAUCGCGUCUCGUUUAUUUCACAUUACCCUCCGCUGACCAAUAACAGAAUCCGAUUAGCAGUGAGCCCGUUAGAAAAUAAUUAGACUCUGCGCGGUAAUUAAUUGCCGGACUUCGCGAGCACGUGGAGGCUCGACUACGUCACCGCAGCGCCGUUUGCAGGGUUCGAGUGGCAUCAACACCAAUCUCAGGAUACUGUAUCAAAAACCUCAGACAAAAAGAGCACCAAACAGGACAGGUUUAAGACUUAAUGUAAACUAAGACAUCGAAUAUGGUAGGCUUUGUCCAAACACUGUAGUCUACCUACCUUGUCCUGAAUGGAAAGUGGCGUACUAGUUUUUUUUGUUUUUUUUUAGGAGAGGGGGAUUUUUUUUGGACUUGGCAAUAUUAAGCACGCUAAAACCUGCUGUACAUUUCGAUUGCAACAAGACUGUCCUUCUAAGCAAACUAAAGUUUCACGUUUCGAGACGUGUGGAGAUCCUGUGGCUCAUGCAUUUCGCCUAUAUUCUCCUCAUUUCCCCCAGAGGCGCGCCGUCAAGUUCAGCCACGCGCCCUUGUUUUUAUUGUGCCACCAAUUAGCCAAUAGUCAGAGAGCAACUAGCGCUCGCCUUUCGCCUCCACAAUUCCUCCAAAGAAACUCAAAGUUUGGAUAUUUAAACGCGCUUUUUUUCCCCCUUCCCGCAUAUCUUCUUUUCCUCGUCCCAGACCACGCGUUUUGCUUUUUGUUUGUUUUUGCUUGCUUCUUGUUGUUUGUUUUGGGGUUUUUUUUGGUCCCUACUCAGGGACUAUUGACACGUCUCGCGCGCGUUUGUGCAAUUCUAAAACGCGCACCUAAACAACAAUAAGGAAGGACAGGAGAGCUUUCCAACUUCCGUACACAGAGUUGAGCCGCGCGGCAUGGACGCACCAGCAACGCGUUUUGGGAAAACCGAGAAAGAAAGUAAGUCGGUGCUCAGGAGGAAGAAGAAGAAGAAGAAGAAGAAGAAGAAGAAGGAGCAGAGCAUGGUUGCACUUGGGUUAUUACCUUGUUGCAGUGGUAAUAGUCCAGAGAGGCGAGGCUGGAGUCGGUGGAUAACGUGCAGGAGCCCACGCUCGAAGGGGGUGCAGGAUAAAAUCUCACAUCCAUCGCCCGCUCCGCUCCACUGAAGGCAUGAAAACAGGGUCAAGGAAGCCUGGAGCCUUUCUCAGGGAACUCAGGGCACGAGGCGUGGGACACUCUGGACGGGGUGACAACUUAUCGCAGGGCACAAUCACAUACACCCUCACACACUACGGAGAAUUAGGAAAUGCCGAUCAACCUACAACACAUGUCUUUGGAUUGGAGGAGGAAACCCCUGAAGCACAGGGAGUACAUGCAAGCUCCACGCUCACAGCGCAGAGGCGGGACUCAAACCCCAACCCUGGAGGUGCAAGGCAAACG